rnacentral:rRNA from 1 species
AUUGAACGCUGGCGGCAGGCCUAACACAUGCAAGUCGAGCGAGCGGCGGACGGGUGAGUAAUGUCUGGGAAACCGCCUGCUGGAGGGGGAUAACUACUGGAAACGGUAGUUAAUACCGCAUACCAUCAGACGUGCACCGCUGGGAUUAGCUAGUAGGUGGGGUAACGGCUCACCUAGGCGACGAUCCCUAGCUGGUCUGAGAGGAUGACCAGCCACACUGGGACUGAGACACGGCCCAGACUCCUACGGGAGGCAGCAGUGGGGAAUAUUGCACAAUGGGCGCAAGCCUGAUGCAGCCAUGCCGCGUGUGUGAUGAAGGCCUUCGGGUUGUAAAGCACUUUCGGCGGGGAGGCGUUACCCGCAGAAGAAGCACCGGCUAACUCCGUGCCAGCAGCCGCGGUAAUAC